AUAGGGUAGGGGUUUGGAAGCCCAACAAGGAUAGGGUUUCAAACACGAACAUCUUUCUUCUGACGGCUCGCACUAUCUCUCCCAACAUUAGUUUUAGAUCUGUCGGGUCCGGUGCCUUAGAGAAUGAAAGUUAAUCCGGCAGAUCGCGAGGAAGAAAUACCUUUUAAUCGUUAAAGAGUUCGGAAGAGGGAACGCAAGCGUCCGGUUAGGCAUGAAGGCCACUCUGGCAUGGCAAAGAACAAAUUUUGUGAAACCUGUUGGUAAAGACCAAACGGUACGAACCUGCUGAUAAUAAUGAAGCAAACCUGCUGCUUUGUAUCCCGAGCCUGUUAUGGAAGAGUUCCGAUGGAUGGCCAAUGCAAUUGAAAACCAGAUGCACGGGCGUGUUUCAGCCCCAUUCAUGCUCAUGGUUGAUGUUGGGGUGUUGAAGUCUCCAUCUGGUGAUCCAAUCACUUGCUUCAUGCCAGCAUUCGCCGUUGACGUUGAUGCUACAGACCCCCACUACAUAUCCACUGCAAAGGUGUUCUUUGAGAGGGCAUAGAUUCUGUAGUCUCGCUGGGUGUGGUUUCAAAUUUGGACAUUUUAGACUAUUAAGAUCUUGUUUUUGCUCUUACAGUUUGGUGUAACCUGGUGGAACCAGGAUUUAUGUUACUUUCCACAUUUGGACCUUUUGGACGAUAUGUUGGCACGGUGACUGAUGCAGGGUGCUGAAAUAUGUUUUGGUUGUUUGUUUUAUCUCUCUACUUUAAAAAAAAAAAAAAAAAUUUGGUCCAACCUUACAGAUGGGACAUGCCAUUUAAUAAAAGACGAAGCUCAGUAAUUCCAAACCUAAAA